rnacentral:rRNA from 1 species
GUGUCAGCCGCCGCGGUAAUACGUAGGGGGCAAGCGUUGUCCGGAAUGAUUGGGCGUAAAGGGCGCGUAGGCGGCCUGUUAAGUCUGGAGUGAAAGUCCUGCUUUUAAGGUGGGAAUUGCUUUGGAAACUGGCGGGCUGGAGUGCAGGAGAGGUUAGUGGAAUUCCCGGUGUAGCGGUGAAAUGCGUAGAGAUCGGGAGGAACACCAGUGGCGAAGGCGACUAACUGGACUGUAACUGACGCUGAAGCGCGAAAGUGUGGGGAGCAAACAGGAUUAGAAACCCCCGUAGUCC